AGAACAGAGAGGAGAGAGAAUGGAGCCAGUCGAACCUGACCAAGGAGCUGUGAGAACUGUGGUGGAGAAACAUCUAAAGAGAGAAUUCCUGACCAAACCCCUGGAUGAGGGGGAACUCUAGGGGGAUCUCCCUUAAACGAAUAUCAUGACCUUGUAAAGCUGCGUGUGUCUGCGUUAUGCUGAGAGGAACGGAGAUGGAUGAGAGACAGAGGAGGAACAAGGAGAAAAAGAGCAAAAGAUUCAAACUGACCGAAAUGCUGUGACAAGUCCCUAAAAUAUAUACUGAUCUGUUUCAGCAGUAUGGAAAAUCAACAUACAAGCUAUAUAAUACAAUAUAAUAAACACUUAAGAAGACACUUCGGAGAAUCUGCAUUCAUUACAUUUUCAGCACUUUACAGUAUUAUUCUAUUUCCAUUUUUCACUGUGCACUUAAUGUUAUCAUGAAGGGUAAAAUAUCAAUACUUUGUUCUGACAAAACGAUCGAAUUAAAAUCUUUUCUAGCCAUUCCAACAAGUUGUUUCAGGUAAUCCCAAACACUAAGUAUGUUUAUACACAAAAUCUGACAAGUGACAGAAAGCAUUUGGGUGAAACUCACCAGACAAUUUCUGCAACUUUACAAAAAGAAAUCUUGCACGGAUGUGCGCAGCAAAAGCGUUCGGAGAAAGAAAAAUGUUGACUUGUGUGCGUCAGAGUGCUGAGUGUUGCUGAGUGAGCUGGAGAGAGACCUCCGGGCACCUUUAGCAGGCUACUCGAGGAUAGGACUGGAGCCGCAGACCAGCUGCAGCUCUGCCACCUCGUCCAGCACAGUCCAGACAGACAAGACACACACACAGACAGACAGACAAGACACACAG